AUUCAGAUAAAUGAUAACAUUCAGAUAAAUGAGGCUCUUCUCCCUCCAAGAAAAAAAAAUCGCAGAAGUUGAUCGUCCAUGGCGUCUAAGUCACCGUCGCAAUUCAUCCACCAUUUCGCCGCCACGACACCUCUUCCCAGGUGUUGCUCAAGUGGUGGAAGAUGAGGCAGAUGUUGAUGUUGUACUGUUGAGGGUUUAACAAUGACCCUAUUUUGUGAAAAAAGUAUUGAUUUGUUUAUAAAUGAGAAACCCAGGUCUAAGGAUUGAAAGAAAUACCUGUCUUUUAGGGAAGAAUAGAAAAAAUACAAGGGUAGAUUAUACAGUCGAUGUCCAACCCGAGCUGAUAUGGAGACUGAUCCUGUUUUGAAGAGGAAACUCAGCUCUUUGGGUAGAAAAGUUAAUAAGGUAAAAAGGCGCGGAGCACAAAUGUAUUGUGACAUUCUUUUAUCCUUAUUUAGCAAAAGGAUUUGAGUUUUUUUGUAAGUUUUUUAAGUGAGCCAGUGAUGAGACAAUUAGACAAGUAAUUUCUAGUACAUUUGUAUGUUCAGAUACAAAUUUCUAGUAUAUUUGUAUGUAUGGAAUAUCAGACAUCAAUUUGAUAUUUUUUUUUUUGUGUUA